GCCAGUGUAGCUCAGUUGGUAGAGCAGCGGUUUUGUAAACCGCUGGUCGUCGGUUCGAGUCCGGCCACUGGCU
rnacentral:tRNA from 2 species